rnacentral:rRNA from 1 species
UACGUAGGGAGCGAGCGUUGUCCGGAUUUACUGGGUGUAAAGGGUGCGUAGGCGGCUUCGCAAGUCAGUAGUGAAAUCCAUGGGCUUAACCCAUGAACUGCUAUUGAAACUGUGGAGCUUGAGUGAAGUAGAGGUAGGCGGAAUUCCCGGUGUAGCGGUGAAAUGCGUAGAGAUCGGGAGGAACACCAGUGGCGAAGGCGGCCUACUGGGCUUUAACUGACGCUGAGGCACGAAAGCGUGGGUAGCAA